AUACUUACCUGGACGGGGUCGACGGGUGAUCAGGAAGAUCACAUGGUGGGUGCGUUGGCUUACCAUCUUCCCAAAGUGGGAGAGUGGACGUCAUAAUUUGUGGUAGAGGGGUACGCGUUCGCGCGGCCCCUG
rnacentral:snRNA from 1 species